rnacentral:rRNA from 1 species
GUACACUCCUGCGGGAGGCAGCAGUGGGGAAUAUUGCACAAUGGGCGCAAGCCUGAUGCAGCCAUGCCGCGUGUAUGAAGAAGGCCUUCGGGUUGUAAAGUACUUUCAGCGGGGAGGAAGGCGAUAAGGUUAAUAACCUUGUCGAUUGACGUUACCCGCAGAAGAAGCACCGGCUAACUCCGUGCCAGCAGCCGCGGUAAUACGGAGGGUGCAAGCGUUAAUCGGAAUUACUGGGCGUAAAGCGCACGCAGGCGGUCUGUCAAGUCGGAUGUGAAAUCCCCGGGCUCAACCUGGGAACUGCAUUCGAAACUGGCAGGCUAGAGUCUUGUAGAGGGGGGUAGAAUUCCAGGUGUAGCGGUGAAAUGCGUAGAGAUCUGGAGGAAUACCGGUGGCGAAGGCGGCCCCCUGGACAAAGACUGACGCUCAGGUGCGAAAGCGUGGGGAGCAAACAGGAUUAGAAACCCGUGUAGUCCC